UAAAAGAAAUAAAUAUUAAUUCAUUUUUGCUUGGGCACUACGAACACAUGUUUAAAACCCAAAGAACUUGGCGGUACUUUAACCCACUUAGGGGAACCUGUCCUUUAAUUCGAUAAUCCGCGAUAAUCUUAUUUACUUUAGAACACUUCAGCUUGUAUACCGUCGUCAUAAGUUAACCUUAAAAAGAAAAAAAGUUAACAACAAAGAUAAAAUUUAAUAAUUUUCUCCCAGGUCAGAUCAAGGUGCAGCUAAUAAGUAAAGAAGGAGAUGGGUUACAAUUGAUAAAUUUCAAAUGGAAUUUUUAAAGAAAAUAAAAACGAAACAGGACUUAAAAGUAAUUCAUGAUAACAAACAUUAAUGAAUAAGGAAAUAAAGUGUGC
rnacentral:rRNA from 1 species